rnacentral:rRNA from 1 species
AUGGCUCAGGACGAACGCUGGCGGCGUGCCUAACACAUGCAAGUCGAACGAAGCACUUCAACUCUGAGAUUCGUCAAGGAGAGGAAUUGACUUAGUGGCGGACGGGUGAGUAAUGCGUGAGCAACCUGCCCUUCAGAGGGGGACAACAGUUGGAAACGACUGCUAAUACCGCAUGAUGUAUUUGGAAGGCAUCUUCCGGAUACCAAAGAUUUUAUCGCUGAAGGAUGGGCUCACGUCUGAUUAGUUAGUUGGUGGGGUAACGGCCUACCAAGACUGCGAUCAGUAGCCGGACUGAGAGGUUGAACGGCCACAUUGGGACUGAGAUACGGCCCAGACUCCUACGGGAGGCAGCAGUGGGGAAUAUUGGGCAAUGGGCGCAAAGCCUGACCCAGCAACGCCGCGUGAAGGAAGAAGGCCUUCGGGUUGUAAACUUCUUUUAUGAGGGACGAAGGACGUGACGGUACCUCAUGAAUAAGCCACGGCUAACUACGUGCCAGCAGCCGC